UACAGAGGGUGCGAGCGUUAAUCGGAAUUACUGGGCGUAAAGCGCACGUAGGCGGCUUUGUAAGUUAGAGGUGAAAGCCCGGGGCUCAACUCCGGAACUGCCUUUAAGACUGCAUCGCUUGAAUCCAGGAGAGGUGAGUGGAAUUCCGAGUGUAGAGGUGAAAUUCGUAGAUAUUCGCAAGAACACCAGUGGCGAAGGCGGCUCACUGGCCCAUUACUGACGCUGAGGCACGAAAGCGUGGGGAGCAAACAGG
rnacentral:rRNA from 1 species